AGUGAACGCUGGCGGCAGGCCUAACACAUGCAAGUCGAGCGGCAGCGCGGGGGCAACCCUGGCGGCGAGCGGCGGACGGGUGAGGAAUUCGUCGGAAUCUGCCUUUUUGUGGGGGAUAACGUAGGGAAACUUACGCUAAUACCGCAUACGUCCUACGGGAGAAAGUGGGGGACCGCAAGGCCUCACGCAGAAAGAUGAGCCGACGACCGAUUAGCUAGUUGGUGGGGUAAAGGCCCACCAAGGCGACGAUCGGUAGCUGGUCUGAGAGGAUGAUCAGCCACACUGGGACUGAGACACGGCCCAGACUCCUACGGGAGGAAGCAGUGGGGAAUAUUGGACAAAGGGCGAAAGCCUGAUCCAGCCAUGCCGCGUGUGUGAAGAAGGCCUUCGGGUUGUAAAGCACUUUUGUCCGGAAAGAAAUCCCUGGAGCUAAUACCUUCGGGGGAUGACGGUACCGGAAGAAUAAGCACCGGCUAACUUCGUG
rnacentral:rRNA from 1 species